CAAGGUCCCGUGAGGGAAAGUUGCAAAGCACUUUGAAGAGAGAGUUAAAGAGGACGUGAAACCGGUAGGAUGGAAACGGAUAGAGCCAGCGAAGCUGCUUGUAUUCAGCCAAAAGCUAUGGGCUUCGGGCGGUUGGGUUGCUAAUCACACUCGACUGUUUGUUUGCCUGUGGUUGAGGUGCAUUUGCAGGCAAUUGCGCCGAGACUUGUGGGGUAGUGGCAGGACGCGUGAAUAGAGGCUUCCCUCUGGGUUGAACCUUUUCGCGUUGAUGGCUAUUUGCCCUGCUCGUAAUCGGGCUUGGCCUACGGACCUGGCCGUAGUCGUUGUGUUUGUUCGGUGAGGUCGCAUGCGACUUCUAGUUCGGGCGUUUCGAUUGCGUACUGGCUCCCAAGCUCGCUCUCGGUGUAGGAGCUGGUCAUCUAUCCGACCCGUCUUGAAACACGGACCAAGGAGUUUAGCGUAUGCGCGAGUCAUUGGGCGUUGAAAACCCAAAGGCGCAAUGAAAGUGAAGGCCCAGUCGCUGGGCUUACGUGCGAGUGAUAGGUCUUCGGAUUUGUCAUGCAGCAUGGUCCCGUUCCGAUCGCUUGCGAUGGAGCGGAGAUAGAGCGUAUGCGCUGAGACCCGAAAGAUGGUGAACUAUUCCUGAGCAGGACGAAGCCAGAGGAAACUCUGGUGGAAGUCCGAAGCGAUUCUGACGUGCAAAUCGAUCGUCUGACUUGGGUAUAGGGGCGAAAGACUAAUCGAACCAUCUAGUAGCUGUUUCUCUUUCGAA
rnacentral:rRNA from 1 species